rnacentral:rRNA from 1 species
CGACAAGAGAAAUCUACGAAAAACAAACAAAACUUUCAACAACGGAUCUCUUGGUUCUCGCAUCGAUGAAGAGCGCAGCGAAAUGCGAUACCUAGUGUGAAUUGCAGCCAUCGUGAAUCAUCGAGUUCUUGAACGCACAUUGCGCCCCUCGGCAUUCCGGGGGGCAUGCCUGUUUGAGCGUCGUUUCCAUCUUGCGCGUGCGCAGAGUUGGGGGAGCGGAGCGGACGACGUGUAAAGAGCGUCGGAGCUGCGACUCGCCUGAAAGGGAGCGAAGCUGGCCGAGCGAACUAGACUUUUUUUCAGGGACGCUUGGCGGCCGAGAGCGAGUGUUGCGAGACAACAAAAAGCUCGACCUCAAAUCAGGUAGGAAUACCCGCUGAACUUAAGCAUAUCAAUA